rnacentral:rRNA from 1 species
GUGUCAGGGGUUGACGGUAUCGUACGAAUAAGCAUCGGCUAACUCCGUGCCAGCAGCCGCGGUAAUACGGAGGAUGCAAGCGUUAUCCGGAUUUAUUGGGUUUAAAGGGUGCGUAGGCGGGAUAUUAAGUCAGUGGUGAAAUCCUGCAGCUUAACUGUAGAACUGCCAUUGAUACUGAUAUUCUUGAGUAUAGUUGAAGUGGGCGGAAUGUGUAAUGUAGCGGUGAAAUGCUUAGAUAUUACACAGAACACCGAUUGCGUAGGCAGCUCGCUAAACUAAUACUGACGCUGAGGCACGAAAGCGUGGGGAGCGAACAGGAUUAGAUACCCUGGUAGUCCACGCUGUAAACUAUGAUCACUCGUUGUUGGCAAUACACAGUCAGCGACUGAGCGAAAGCAUUAAGUGAUCCACCUGGGGAGUACGGCCGCAAGGUUGAAACUCAAAGGAAUUGACGGGGGCCCGCACAAGCGGAGGAACAUGUGGUUUAAUUCGAUGAUACGCGAGGAACCUUACCUGGGCUUAAAUGCAGAACGACGUCCGCCGAAAGGCAGAUUCCCUUCGGGGCGGACUGCAAGGUGCUGCAUGGUUGUCGUCAGCUCGUGCCGUGAGGUGUCGGGUUAAGUCCCAUAACGAGCGCAACCCUUAUUGUUAGUUGCCAGCGGGUAAUGCCGGGGACUCUAACGAAACUGCCGGUGUAAACCGAGAGGAAGGUGGGGAUGACGUCAAAUCAGCACGGCCCUUACGUCCAGGGCUACACACGUGUUACAAUGGCCGGUACAAAGGGCAGCUACCUGGUAACAGGAUGCUAAUCUCGAAAGCCGGUCUCAGUUCGGAUUGAAGUCUGCAACUCGACCUCAUGAAGUUGGAUUCG